AGAACGAACGCUGGCGGCAGGCCUAAAACAUGCAAGUCGAGCGCCCAGCAAUGGGAGCGGCGGACGGGUGAGUAACACGUGGGAACGUACCUUUCGGUUCGGAACAACUCAGGGAAACUUGAGCUAAUGCCGAAAUUCGCCCUUCGGGGGAAAGAUUUAUCGCCGAAAGAUCGGCCCGCGUAAGAUUAGCUAGUUGGUGAGGUAACGGCCUACCAAGGCGACGACGGGUAGCCGGCCUGAGAGGGCGACCGGCCACACUGGGACUGAGACACGGCCCAGACUCCUACGGGAGGCAGCAGUGGGGAAUAUUGCGCAAUGGGCGAAAGCCUGACGCAGCGACGCCGCGUGGGGGGAUGAAGGCCUUCGGGUUGUAAACCCCUUUCAGCAGGGACGAAGCGAAAGUGACGGUACCUGCAGAAGAAGCGCCGGCUAACUACGCGCCAGCAGCCGC
rnacentral:rRNA from 1 species